ACGGCUCAGUAACACGUGGACAAUCUACCCUAUGGAGGGGGAUAACCCCGGGAAACUGGGGAUAAUACCCCAUAGACUAUAGAUGCUGGAAUGCUUUGUAGUUAAAAGGUCAGCCGCCAUAGGAUGGGUCUGCGGCCGAUUAGGUUGUUGUUGGGGUAACGGCCCAACAAGCCUGUAAUCGGUACGGGUUGUGGGAGCAAGAGCCCGGAGAUGGAUUCUGAGACACGAAUCCAGGCCCUACGGGGCGCAGCAGGCGCGAAAACUUUACAAUGCGGGAAACCGUGAUAAGGGAACUCCGAGUGCCCGUAAAAUCGGGCUGUCCAUCUGUGUAAAUAACAGGUGAAGAAAGGGCCGGGCAAGACCGGUGCCAGCCGCCGCGGUAAUACCGGCGGCUCGAGUGGUGGCCACUAUUACUGGGCUUAAAGCGUUCGUAGCUGGUCUGUUAAGUCUCUGGGGAAAUCUACUGGCUUAACCAAUAGGCGUCUCAGGGAUACUGGCAGACUAGGGACCGGGAGAGGUGAGAGGUACUCCAGGGGUAGGAGUGAAAUCCUGUAAUCUUUGGGGGACCACCUGUGGCGAAGGCGUCUCACCAGAACGGCUCCGACAGUGAGGGACGAAAGCUGGGGGAGCAAACCGGAUUAGAUACCCGGGUAGUCCCAGCCGUAAACGAUGCGCGUUAGGUGUAUCGGUGACCACGAGUCACCGAGGUGCCGAAGAGAAAUCGUGAAACGCGCCGCCUGGGAAGUACGGUCGCAAGGCUGAAACUUAAAGGAAUUGGCGGGGGAGCAC
rnacentral:rRNA from 1 species